rnacentral:lncRNA from 1 species
AAAAAAUUCUCCAUCUGUGCGUGUGCGGGCGGGUGAGCGCGGGGACGAACCACGUGUUCUGGGACCUCGUCCAUCCGACGGAGGCCACGUCGCGGAAGCUCACGGCCAUUGCCUUCGACGGCUCCCCGCGCCAUUGGUUUCACCCAUGGAUGUGAGGAAGCUGUGUGGCUAGCUUGCAAGCCAGGAGCGUUGGCGUACCAUUGUCUACUAUACUACUGUUAAGAGCAUCUUCAACAACUCACCAAUAAUUCAUCUUCAAUGUGAGGACUUUCAGGCUUGGUUCCAGAAACCAUUAUCUAAGGAGGUAGGGGCGACUUUGGAAGCCCUGUUCAACAUUCAUAUGCCGGACACCGAACACGUUGACAAGGCACUGAUGGGAAUUGCAGGUGAAGCUAUAGAAGAAAUACAUGAUGAGAUGGAUAAUCUGCAAGCGGAAGCAAGGAGCAAUGCUGCAGCACGUCUGGUGGCUGUCUGGUUCCUUGCCAGCCUGUCCGGGUGUAUUUUGGUUUUAGAUGAUGUACUGCAACUCAGUUUUAGUCCCUUUUGCAAUCGGCUGCGCUGAGCUGCUGGUUGUGGGUUUUAUUUUGGUCGAGAUGUUGUACUGCAUCUUAGUUUCAGCUUCAAUUACGAACAACUCCGGAUAUGUUGCGCUGCUGCUAGCUUCCAGCCUUGUUGUAGAAUACUAUUCCAAGGCAAUGAUGGC